UUUUUGAUGCAGAAUAUAACCCCAUGUAUACACACAUAAACUGAUUGAAACAGAAAGUCGUCAGUUUUGAGGACGAAGACCAUGAAAUUAGUUUCUAUUGGUUGAUGAAUAAAUGGCCGACGGAACAGUAUGUGUUUGAGGACAUGCUAUUGAGGACACGACUCCAUUAUCUGGGAACAAUUCAGUGUUUUCACAUCUAAAU
rnacentral:lncRNA from 1 species